UUGGUUAAGUUAGAAAGGGCGCACGGUGGAUGCCUUGGCACUAGGAGCCGAAGAAGGACGGGACUAACACCGAUAUGCUUUGGGGAGCUGUACGUAAGCGUUGAUCCAGAGAUUUCCGAAUGGGGGAACCCACUAUCUUUAGUCGGAUAGUAUCCUUACGUGAAUACAUAGCGUGAGGAAGGCAGACCCAGGGAACUGAAACAUCUAAGUACCUGGAGGAAGAGAAAGAAAAAUCGAUUUCCUGAGUAGCGGCGAGCGAAACGGAAAGAGCCCAAACCAAGAAGCUUGCUUCUUGGGGUUGUAGGACACUCUAUACGGAGUUACAAAAGAAAGUUAUAAAUGAAGCGGUCUGGAAAGGCCCGCCAAAGACGGUAACAGCCCGGUAGUUGAAAUGGCUUUCCCUCCAGAGUGGAUCCUGAGUACGGCGGAACACGUGAAAUUCCGUCGGAAUCCGGGAGGACCAUCUCCCAAGGCUAAAUACUCCCUAGUGACCGAUAGUGAACCAGUACCGUGAGGGAAAGGUGAAAAGCACCCCGGAAGGGGAGUGAAACAGUUCCUGAAACCGUGUGCCUACAAGUAGUUAGAGCCCGUUAAUGGGUGAUAGCGUGCCUUUUGUAGAAUGAACCGGCGAGUUACGAUUUGUUGCAAGGUUAAGCGGAAAAAGCGGAGCCGUAGCGAAAGCGAGUCUGAAUAGGGCGCAUAAGUAACAGGUCGUAGACCCGAAACCAGGUGAUCUACCCAUGUCCAGGAUGAAGGUAAGGUAAUACUUACUGGAGGUCCGAACCCACGCACGUUGAAAA
rnacentral:rRNA from 1 species